AGAGCGAACGCUGGCGGCAGGCUUAACACAUGCAAGUCGAGCGGGCGUAGCAAUACGUCAGCGGCAGACGGGUGAGUAACGCGUGGGAACAUACCUUUUGGUUCGGAACAACACAGGGAAACUUGUGCUAAUACCGGAUAAGCCCUUACGGGGAAAGAUUUAUCGCCGAAAGAUUGGCCCGCGUCUGAUUAGCUAGUUGGUGAGGUAACGGCUCACCAAGGCGACGAUCAGUAGCUGGUCUGAGAGGAUGAUCAGCCACAUUGGGACUGAGACACGGCCCAAACUCCUACGGGAGGCAGCAGUGGGGAAUAUUGGACAAUGGGCGCAAGCCUGAUCCAGCCAUGCCGCGUGAGUGAUGAAGGCCCUAGGGUUGUAAAGCUCUUUUGUGCGGGAAGAUAAUGACGGUACCGCAAGAAUAAGCCCCGGCUAACGUUCGUGCCAGCAGCCGC
rnacentral:rRNA from 1 species